GCUCGUGUCGUGAGAUGUGGGUUAAGUACCCGCAACGAGCGCAACCUCGCCUUAGUUGCCAUCAUUCAGUUGGGCACUCUAAGGGGACUGCCGGUGAUAAGCCGAGAGGAAGUGGGGAUGACGUCAAGUCCUCAUGGCCCUUACGGGCUGGGUUACACACGUGCUACAAUGGUGGUGACAGUGGGCAGCGAGACCGCGAGGUCGAGCUAAUCUCCAAAAGCCAUCUCAGUUCGGAUUGCACUCUGCAACUCGAGUGCAUGAAGUUGGAAUCGCUAGUAAUCGCGGAUCAGCAUGCCGCGGUGAAUACGUUCCCGGGCCUU
rnacentral:rRNA from 1 species